rnacentral:tRNA from 1 species
AGAUACUUAGGUUAACUUUUAAACCAGAGGCCUUCAAAGCCUCAAAUAGGAGCCCACACUCCUAGUUUCUG